GGAUCGCAGGCUGNAACCCGCCUGCGUGAAGUCGGAAUCGCUAGUAAUCGCGGAUCAGCAUGCCGCGGUGAAUACGUUCCCGGGCCUUGUACACACCGCCCGUCACACCAUGAGAGUCGGGAACACCCGAAGUCCGUAGCCUAACCGCAAGGAGGGCGCGGCCGAAGGUGGGUUCGAUAAUUGGGGUGAAGUCGUAACAAGGUAUC
rnacentral:rRNA from 1 species